rnacentral:rRNA from 1 species
AAGACCUUGCACUUUUGGAGCGGCCGAUGUCUGAUUAGCUAGUUGGUGGGGUAAUGGCCUACCAAAGCUUCGAUCAGUAGCUGGUCUGAGAGGACGGCCGGCCACACUGGGACUGAGACACGGCCCAGACUCCUACUGGAGGCAGCAGUGGGGAAUUUUGGACAAUGGGCGCAAGCCUGAUCCAGCCAUGCCGCGUGAGUGAAGAAGGCCUUCGGGUUGUAAAGCUCUUUCAGCCGGGAAGAAAAGGUUGCGACUAAUAAUCGCAAUUCAUGACGCUACCGAAAGAAGAAGCACCGGCUAACUACGUGCCAGCAGCCGCGGUAAUACGUAGGGUGCGAGCGUUAAUCGGAAUUACUGGGCGUAAAGGGUGCGCAGGCGGUUUUGUAAGUCAGAUGUGAAAUCCCCGGGCUUAACCUGGGAACU